UUUUUUGGUAGAUAUUCUUCAUCAAUCUGAAGAAAUUCCCUUUUCUUCUUAGAUUGCCAACUAUGAAUGUUGUUAUGGGCUGAAGUGCUCCCACCUCCAAAUUCGUAUGUUCAAGCCUUAACUCCCAGUACUUCAGAAAGUAGUUGUAUAUGGAGACAGGGCCUUUAAAGAGGUGAUUAAGUUAAAAUGAGGUCGUUAGGGGAGGUCCUAAGCCAAUCUGACUGGAGCUGGAGCCCUUAUAAGGAGAGGAGAUUAGGAUGCAGAGAGAGCUAGGGACAUCACGGGCGGAACGGGGAGGAACGACCACGUGAGGACACAGGGAGGAGGCAGCUGUCUGUAGGCUAAGGAGAGAGGCCUCAGAAGAAACCAACUCUGCAAUAGUUUUAAGCAUUUGCUUCCUGGAGAACCCAACCUGCCACAACAGGAAACAUUUAGAUCCUACAAAGUCAGCUGGGAAGAGAAGGAAUUCAGAAAAAAGAAUGAAACACUGAAAACUGUAUAUCAAAUAAGAAGAAUGAUGUGGAUUGUCGACUGGGAGACUAUAAAACCCAUCACUGAGCUCUUCAGGUCACAGAUUGGUUAUGGAUUAUUUUCGUCGACAGAUCUUCCAAUAUGAGUAAGCAAAUGCCCACAUAUGGUUUAUCUCAGUCUCCAAAGCAUCUUUAUGCUCUAAAGGGCAUUUUUUUCACUUUCUGAAAGGAAUCACUGUCAAGGAACAAUGCAUAUUUUACAGUUGAAGAUACAUAGCUGAUUCUUCUGGUUUCCCAUUCUGAUUUUUUAAUAAUCUGGUUAUCAAGUAAGGCUUAGAAUCUUGGUUAUUCAAAGACUUUCAAGAAACUUAGCACAUUAUUCCCUGUCGUGCAGACUAAAGCAAUUCAGAUG
rnacentral:lncRNA from 1 species